CGGGGCGACCUAUGAUUGGUCAGCAAUGUAUCAGAUUCCAUACCGGGGGGUGGGGAUGAAAAAACUGUUGUAGUGUUACAUAAUCAGAGUAUUUCAACUUACUUAUCCUGUGGAAAUACAGCUAUAUAGGAGAUAUUUUGAAAUUCAUAGGCACUGCAUGUUUCAACAUUUUAGAUUUGACCACAAUCUGGCACUUGAAACUACGUUAACAGAGAAAAACUGUGUGGUUUUCGAUGAAAGUGUUAAAAGUCUAAUAUUGCAUCAUGAUUACUGUUUUAAAGUAUUUUCGUGUUUGAUUUAUAUUGAAUUCAUCUCAUCUUUUUGAAGAAUGCAUUUAUGUUCAAAAAUAAAAAUGUUCUGUGGAAUUCAAAAUUCAUGUGCUUUUAAAUUAUCAGAUUCCAAACUGGGGGGUAGGGAUGAAAAAGCUGUUGUAGUGUUACAUAAUCAGAUUAUUUCAACUUACUUAUCCUAUGGAAAUACAGCUAUAUAGGAGAUAUUUUAAAAUUGAUAGGCACUGCAUGUUUCAACAUUUUAGAUUUGACCACAAUUUGGCACUUGAAACUACGUUAACAGAGAAAAACUGUGUGGUUUUCGAUGAAAGUGUUAAAAAGUCUAAUAUUGCAUCAUGAUUACUGUUUUAAAGUAUUUUCGUGUUUGAUUUAUAUUGAAUUGUAUUUAGAAAACGGAGGAAACCGAAUGACCCAGCGAAAAAACUCAAGAGAUUGGACAGGCGACUCUACUCCUUGAAAUUGAAACCAUGCCACUUAACACAAUGACAGACCCUGUGAUUUCAUGCGCAUGCAUUACCUACUAGACCAUUCCCCCCAGCCCCACCCCAUAUCGAAAAAAAGUAUGACUUAUUUCAAAUAUGAUAUUUACAUAUAAAGAAAGUAGAGAGACUUCAAUCUUACUAGAAAAAUACUAGAUUACCUGAAAUGAAAUGGGGUUUAAAGACAACGUCCUACUGGUCAGCUCCGACUGGUCUAAUGCAUUGUGCUAAGUGAAAAUGUUUGUCUGGGCAGCGACACUAUGGCCUACUCUCAUACUGAAUUCAAACUGCCAAGAGAACUUUUAUGUGUAUGCCAAUGUGUACAUUGGAUCUCAGGGGAAACCACUCUGCAAAAUCAAGAUGAGCUUUCUCGGUCAACCCCAAGAGAUAACCUGUGGCCUCCAUGCUAGUGUGCCAGCACCUAAUUUACUCAGUCACCAUGGCCGUCUUCUAAUUACUGCGACAGUGAAACCAUGUGACAAACAAGGAUUAUUAAGAUAGACUUUUACGGCUUGGUAGUUCCUUGGGAUUAAAACUUUUGAUACAUAUAGAUACAUUAGUUUCAAUUUCAUAUCACACAGUUUGUAUAUAUGGUAAGGUAGCUUUAAUCGUAAAUUACAUAUCAUGUAUUUAUUUUUUCAGUUUCAAUAUUGGAUGUAUAUGCAAAUCACCCAGAAAAAGAUCAUGUAAUAACAAAAGAAAUUAUAAAAGAAAAAAAGGAAGAAGAAAUGGCUGGAAAAAAUGACGAUAGAACACCUUUUUCUUGUUACCCACCUCGGAAGAUCAAGUUGGAAAGGGCUAUUGAUAUUGUGGAGACGUUUUCUCACAGAUCUUGCUUAUCAGACAAAGACUAUGCUGGAACACCAUUGAAAGAGUAUUUGCUGUAUGAUAACAACAAGAAAACCCAAGCAUCAAUUUAUUUUAUACUUCUGGGAAAGAAUGCAUUUGACCCAAUUUUUAAAUAUUUAUUUUUUGUUAUUAAUGUUAAAUUUUCUUCCAAAACACAAUUAGAUUUUAAUUCUCUUCAGAAAUGUAUGUAUAAUAUAGCAAGUAAAGUGGCAUAUAAAUCACUUAGAAUUUGGUCAGAAAUCAUAAAGUAUUUAAUAGGCAUUACUAGAAACCAAAUGUAGAUCAAAUACACCCAGAAUUACAAAAAACCUUGACCUACAUAAAGGUGACUUGACUUUCCCUUGCUUAUGAAAUGAAAUACGGUUUAGUAUCCUACUUUUCUGUGUUCUUAGAGUGAUUCUGCCCUACACCCUACUCUUAUAUCAAAUAUUUCAACUGCCAAGGGUUCUUUAACGGGAACCCGGGGGGGGGGGGCAAUGAUUAACACGCACACAUUUGAUCAGGAAGUCUGUCAUUGAGUCAAAUAAUUCAAUUGUCAAGGCUUCUUCUAAGUGAACGCAGUGGGGAUGGUUUCGAUUCCGGGAAUGGGGGAGGGGGUGGUGGAUGGCCGAAUGGUAAGCAUGUGCGUGCGGUAUCAUACGGCCUGUCAUUGAGUCAACUGGCGUGGUUUCGAAUCCCCGGUUGUACGUGACAAGGAGUAGGGUCGCCUGUCCAAUCUUGUGGGUUUUCUACGGGACCUACGGUUUCCUCCCACUGCUAAAGACCCCUAUGCGCAACGAAUUAUUGAAAUAAAAUUAAACCAUAUGUUAAUCCCGAAAUGACCUAGUUUGUGUCAAGUGGACGUUAAACCCCAUUUCUCUCUCUCUCUCUUUCGAUUCCGGGCUUGUACCCAAUUAUCCCUUGCCAUAUCCAAGACUACUGACAAGUGGGAACUAUGCCGGAAAAUCCAGUUGAAAUUUCUCGGCCAACACCU